rnacentral:rRNA from 1 species
ACAAUGGCGCAUACAAAGAGAAGCGACCUCGCGAGAGCAAGCGGACCUCAUAAAGUGCGUCGUAGUCCGGAUUGGAGUCUGCAACUCGACUCCAUGAAGUCGGAAUCGCUAGUAAUCGUGGAUCAGAAUGCCACGGUGAAUACGUUCCCGGGCCUUGUACACACCGCCCGUCACACCAUGGGAGUGGGUUGCAAAAGAAGUAGGUAGCUUAACCUUCGGGAGGGCGCUUACCACUUUGUGAUUCAUGACUGGGGUGAAGUCGUAACAAGGUAACCGUAGGGGAACCUGCGGUUGGAUCACCUCCUUACCUUAAAGAA